GAUGAACGCUAGCGGGAGGCUUAAACAUGCAAGUCGAGGGGCAGCAUAGGGUAGCAAUACUCUGAUGGCGACCGGCAAACGGGUGAGUAACGCGUAUGUAACCUACCCUGUACAGGGGGAUAACCCGGAGAAAUUCGGACUAAUAUCCCAUAACAAUAUCCGGGGGCAUCUUUGGAUAGUUUAAAGUUCCGGCGGUACGGGAUGGGCAUGCGUAACAUUAGCUAGUUGGUAAGGUAACGGCUUACCAAGGCUUUGAUGUUUAGGGGUCCUGAGAGGGUGGUCCCCCACACUGGUACUGAGACACGGACCAGACUCCUACGGGAGGCAGCAGUGAGGAAUAUUGGUCAAUGGGCGCAAGCCUGAACCAGCCAUCCCGCGUGCAGGAAGACGGCGCUAUGCGUUGUAAACUGCUUUUCCAGGGAGAGAAACUUGCGCACGUGUUGCGCAAUUGACGGUACCCUGGGAAUAAGCAUCGGCUAACUCCGUG
rnacentral:rRNA from 1 species